ACUUACUCAAUAAUAAAGAAUGUUUGUGCGCGCCGCUUUCUGUAUCACCUUCACUUUGUGUACAUGUCGGCCUAAUUACUGGAAUGGAUUUGUUAGAUAAGAAGAUUGAUACCGCUCUCCAUGUUUGUCCCUUUAGUGUGAAGCUGGAGUGAGGAG